GAUGAACGCUGGCGGCGUGCCUAAUACAUGCAAGUCGAGCGAACAGACGAGGAGCUUACUCCUCUGACGUUAGCGGCGGACGGGUGAGUAACACGUGGAUAACCUACCUAUAAGACUGGGAUAACUUCGGGAAACCGGAGCUAAUACCGGAUAACAUGUUGAACCGCAUGGUUCAACAGUGAAAGACGGUCUUGCUAUCACUUAUAGAUGGAUCCGCGUCGCAUUAGCUAGUUGGUAAGGUAACGGCUUACCAAGGCAACGAUGCGUAGCCGACCUGAGAGGGUGAUCGGCCACACUGGAACUGAGACACGGUCCAGACUCCUACGGGAGGCAGCAGUAGGGAAUCUUCCGCAGUGGGCGAAAGCCUGACGGAGCAACGCCGCGUGAGUGAAGAAGGUCUUCGGAUCGUAAAACUCUGUUAUUAGGGAAGAACAAAUGUGUAAGUAACUAUGCACGUCUUGACGGUACCUAAUCAGAAAGCCACGGCUAACUACGUG
rnacentral:rRNA from 1 species